rnacentral:piRNA from 1 species
CCUCCUUUGAGAAAAUGCUCUCCCUGCCAA